rnacentral:rRNA from 1 species
UACGUAGGGGGCAAGCGUUAUCCGGAAUCACUGGGCGUAAAGGGUGCGUAGGCGGCCAAAUAAGCCAGAGGUGAAAGGCUACGGCUCAACCGUAGUAAGCCUUUGGAACUGUAUGGCUUGAGUGCAGGAGAGGAGAGUGGAAUUCCUAGUGUAGCGGUGAAAUGCGUAGAUAUUAGGAGGAACACCAGUGGCGAAGGCGACUCUCUGGACUGCAACUGACGCUGAGGCAC